AUUGAACGCUGGCGGCAUGCUUUACACAUGCAAGUCGAACGGCAGCGCGGGCUUCGGCCUGGCGGCGAGUGGCGAACGGGUGAGUAAUACAUCGGAACGUGCCCAGUAGUGGGGGAUAGCUCGGCGAAAGCCGGAUUAAUACCGCAUACGACCUGAGGGUGAAAGCGGGGGAUCUUCGGACCUCGCGCUAUUGGAGCGGCCGAUGGCAGAUUAGCUAGUUGGUGGGGUAAAGGCCUACCAAGGCGACGAUCUGUAGCUGGUCUGAGAGGACGACCAGCCACCCUGGGACUGAUACACGGCCCAGACUCCUACGGGAGGCAGCAGUGGGGAAUUUUGGACAAUGGGCGAAAGCCUGAUCCAGCAAUGCCGCGUGUGUGAUGAAGGCCUUCGGGUUGUAAAGCACUUUUGGCGGGAACGAAAAGGACUGUGCCAAUACCACGGUUCGAUGACGGUACCCGCAGAAUAAGCACCGGCUAACUACGUG
rnacentral:rRNA from 1 species